rnacentral:rRNA from 1 species
UUCCAGACUCCUACGGGAGGCAGCAGUGGGGAAUAUUGGGCAAUGGGCGCAAGCCUGACCCAGCAACGCCGCGUGAAGGAAGAAGGCUUUCGGGUUGUAAACUUCUUUUCUCAGGGACGAAGAAAGUGACGGUACCUGAGGAAUAAGCCACGGCUAACUACGUGCCAGCAGCCGCGGUAAUACGUAGGUGGCAAGCGUUAUCCGGAUUUAUUGGGUGUAAAGGGCGUGUAGGCGGGAGCGGAAGUCAGAUGUGAAAACUCGGGGCUCAACCCUGAGCCUGCAUUUGAAACUGUGUUUCUUGAGUGCGGGAGAGGCAAUCGGAAUUCCGUGUGUAGCGGUGAAAUGCGUAGAUAUCAGGAGGAACACCGGUGGCGAAGGCGGCCUGCUGGACUGCAACUGACGUUGAGGCCCGAAAGCGUGGGGAGCAAACAGGAUUAGAUACCCCAGUA